AUAUUGGUCAAUGGAGGCAACUCUGAACCAGCCAAGUCGCGUGAAGGAUGCCUGGCCUACGGGUUGUAAACUUCUUUUUUAAGGGAAUAAAGUGAGCCACGUGUGGCUUUUUGAAUGUACCUUACGAAUAAGGAUCGGCUAAAUCCGUUCCAGCAGCCGCGGUAAUACGGAGGAUCCGACCGUUAGCCGGAUUUAUUGGGUUUAAAGGGUGCGCAGGCGGAAUAUUAAGUCGGCGGUGAAAGUUUGCAGCUUAACUGUCAAAUUGCCGUUGAAACUGGUUUUCUUGAGUGUAUAUGAAGUAGGCGGAAUUUGUAGUGUAGCGGUGAAAUGCAUAGAUAUUACAAGGAACUCCGAUUGCGAAGGCAGCUUACUAAAAUACAACUGACGCUCAGGCACGAAGGCGUGGGUAUCAAACA
rnacentral:rRNA from 1 species